GGCGAUAUCCGGAGAAAUGGAACGGAAACGGAAAUGGGUUAGUGGGGUUCGAUCGUGCGAUUCAGUGGUCUUGCAUCAAACAACAUGUCACACAGACUCUAUUGGUACGAUUACAUAUACAUAUCCAUUUCAAAGUAUAUAGGGGUUAAUAUUUAUAUAGGGUUUGGGUCGCCCGAGUAUUAUAAAUACUUCUGCAAUAUAUAUGGUUUCAUCUACUUGGCCCAGCAAUGGCUUUAAAUUAACCAGCAGUUAAAACUCAGUUUUUAUGCUUUUCGAAAAUGGUGCCAAGGAUGGGAAAGUGAGCCACAUAUGCCACCCAAUGAUAUAUAUCGGUUAAACAAACGACGAACUAAGCUUUAAUCGAGAUAUACGGUUGCAAAGUAACAAGUAUAUAUAGAAUAACCAAGAAUAUUCGAUUAUACACGUGGAAAGUGGGGCAAAUCAAAUACACUCGGAUAAGUUCAA
rnacentral:sRNA from 1 species